rnacentral:rRNA from 1 species
AUUGAACGCUGGCGGCAGGCCUAACACAUGCAAGUCGAACGAGUGGCGGACGGGUGAGUAAUGUCUGGGAAACUGCCCGAUGGAGGGGGAUAACUACUGGAAACUGUAGCUUAUACCGCAUACCAUCGGAUGUGCCCAGAGGGGAUUAGCUAGUAUGUGGGGUAACGGCUCACCUAGGCGACGAUCCCUAUCUGGUCUGAGAGGAUGACCAGCCAAACUGGAACGGAGACACGGUCCAGACUCCUACGGGAGGCAGCAGUGGGGAAUAUUGCACAAUGGGCGCAAGCCUGAUGCAGCCAUGCCGCGUGUAUGAAGAAGGCCUUCGGGUUGUAAAGUACUUUCAGCGGGGAGGCGUUACCCGCAGAAGAAGCACCGGCUAACUCCGUGCCAGCAGCCGCGGUAAUAC